GCGUGGGUAGUAUAAUGGUUAUUAUCUCGGUUUCCCAUCAAAUGGCCUGCUUACAUAAGCAGGGACCCUACCGAGGAACCGGGUUCGAUUCCCGGCUCACGCA